rnacentral:lncRNA from 1 species
GAGCACUCCAGGCUCCCUUUCCCAAACCAGCUGAAAGAUCCCCUUUUUCUCUUCUUUAAAACAGUUCUGAAAUCUAGCCAUGCCACCAAUACCUGCAGAAACAUUCUGGAUGGAACAGGCUUGCCCAGACCCUCCUCUCCAGAAGCUGGGCCCUUUAUGUUCCAUCUCUGAGUGAGUGGCAGCAAGGACCAGUGCGAUCAAAAAGGAGAAAGUGGAAUGCGACAUCACCCCCAAGGAGAGGAAGACCAUGGGCCAAGAGCUUCAGGGUGACCCAGUCAUAGGCCC